rnacentral:rRNA from 1 species
CUCGACCUACGGGACGCAGCAGUAGGGAAUUUUCGUCAAUGGGCGCAAGCCUGAACGAGCAAUGCCGCGUGAACGAGGAAGGUCUUCGGAUCGUAAAGUUCUGUUGAAGGGGAAAAAGAGCGGAGAGAGGAAAUGGUCUCCGAUUGAUAUUACCCUUCGAGGAAGUCACGGCUAACUACGUGCCAGCAGCCGCGGUAGGACGUAGGGGGCGAGCGUUAUCCGGAAUGAUUGGGCGUAAAGGGUGCGUAGGCGGCCUGCUAAGUCUGGGGUGAAAGGUACCGGCUCAACCGGGACAGACGCUGGAA